CGCGGAGAGGAGCAAUUGGUCGCUCGUCGGGCUCAUAACCCGAAGGUUGCAGGUUCGAGUCCUGUCUCCGCUACAA
rnacentral:tRNA from 1 species